AUUUCUGCUACACGUUAUGGAUUUGUCUCGAAAUUCUACCAGGACAGAGGAGGCAUACUCUGCCCGAGGAUGUCCUGAGCGCAGAGUCACAGGUGUCCAGUCUGGGACCACUUUUCCUCCAGAGAUCACGUUUCUCACAGUGAAAAGCUGUGAUCAUUGUAAAAGCCUCAAUCUGAGUUUUGGGUUUGCAAAGAGAUUGAUGGAUUUCAAUAAAGCGCUGAGUGCCAUUGAUGAGCGGACGGUCAAACUGGCACGCAUUCUGGAUGACAGUCAGUUGAGUCGUCUGUCCGACCAGAUGAGAAAGUCUGAAGGCAUCUGGGCAAAAAUCCACGAUUUAGAGGCUCUUGAGCAUCGGUCUGAUGAUCUAUCUCUUUCACCUGCGCCAUGCGACUUGCAGGUACACCGGAGCACGCCCAAAAAAGGCUCCAGUGCCAUAGGCUUCUUUGAUGAAGGACUGACUCUGAAUGAAACUGGCCCUGCACAUGAGGAUUUGCAUCUUAACGCAAGAAGCAAAGAAAUUGGCUAUACCACUGAAAAUGACAGCAUUGACUUCAGUGCUGAAGAAAUUCCCCCUGCCGCUGCACCAGGAAAUGCUUGGAACGGUGACCCUUCACUCUUUACCCAUGGGGCAGAGCACUCAAAGGAGCUGGAUUCUGGUAUUCAAGAAGGAGAGAGCAUUCAGCCAGAAGAGGGAGAACCAGAGAAAGACGCGUAUCAGGCAGAACUUGGUCCACCCUCCGGCUCUCAGUCCAAGACCAGCCUUGGAAGCACACAGGGCGACGCAGAAAUGGAGAAACCCACAGCCCAAAAGAGAGACACAGUGUGGUCCAGGGUUCCGAUGUUCAUACGUUUGUUUGUAUUUGCAGCUGUGGGUUUCCUUAUGCUGGGUUCUCUCCACUGGUGCAGGUAUAGAGUACCAAGAUCAUGGGUCUCAGAUAGUUUCAUGGGUGAUGUCCUAAACCUUUGCCAUGACCCCCUGUGCAAUCCACCUAUUUGACAUUAAAAACCCUUGCCUUAAUAAUGUUGAAGCAAGCUUAUACUGCUUUCCCAGUAUUUGGGUAUAACUUUAUUGAAUACAUGUAUUCAAUGAGCUGAUGCCUUUGUCCAUGGCAAUUUUUAUUCAGCUGGGUCGUUUUCACUGGAGUAAUUCAGGGUAAGAACCUUGCACAAAGGUACCGUAGCAGAAGAAGAGAGUUCAAACCAGGUUCUUUGAUAGCAAGAUGAUAGCUCAAAAGUUACACCACAUGUCUCUCUGUAAUACUGUUUUUAGUAUUUUUGGUUCCCCAGUACUUGAUAAGAUGCUACAACCUUGAUGAAAACACUUCUAUGGAUGUUUCUGGCAAAUUAGCAUCAGGUAAUGUUUUUGCAGUUAAUGUAGCCCCAGAUGUCUUCAGUGAGAUUGGUUUCAAUAAAUAAAACCACCAUUAAUAUCA
rnacentral:lncRNA from 1 species